rnacentral:rRNA from 1 species
CGGCUCANCCGUGGAGGGUCAUUGGAAACUGUUAAACUUGAGUGCAGGAGAGAAAAGUGGAAUUCCUAGUGUAGCGGUGAAAUGCGUAGAGAUUAGGAGGAACACCAGUGGCGAAGGCGGCUUUUUGGCCUGUAACUGACACUGAGGCGCGAAAGCGUGGNGAGCAAACAGGAUUAGAUACCCUGGUAGUNCACGCCGUAAACGAUGAGUGCUAAGUGUUGGUCUCAUAAGAGAUCAGUGCUGCAGCAAACGCAUUAAGCACUCCGCCUGGGGAGUACGACCGCAAGGUUGAAACUCAAAGGAAUUGACGGGGACCCGCACAAGCGGUGGAGCAUGUGGUUUAAUUCGAAGCAACGCGAAGAACCUUACCAAGUCUUGACAUACUGUGAGGACACAAGAGAUUGUGUUGUUCUGACCUUUGGUUAGACACAGACACAGGUGGUGCAUGCUUGUCGUCAGCUCGUGUCGUGAGAUGUUGGGUUAAGUCCCGCAACGAGCGCAACCCUUAUAUCUAGUUGCCAGCAGUAAGAUGGGGACUCUAGAUAGACUGCCAGUGAUAAACUGGAGGAAGGUGGGGAUGACGUCAAAUCAUCAUGCCCCUUAUGACUUGGGCUACACACGUGCUACAAUGGAUAGGAACAAAGAGAAGCGAGCUCGCGAGAGUAAGCAAACCUCACAAAACUAUUCUCAGUUCGGAUUGUAGUCUGCAACUCGACUACAUGAAGCUGGAAUCGCUAGUAAUCGCGAAUCAGAAUGUCGCGGUGAAUACGUUCCCGGGUCUUGUACACACCGCCCGUCACACCACGAGAGUUUGUAACACCCGAAGACGGUGGCCUAACCUUUUAGGAGGGAGCCGG